GUUCUGUGGUCUACUGUGUGUUCGCAAAUACAGAAGGAGCAGCCUGGGAGUCGGCCAUCAGACUCGCGCUCAUGCCUUUACAGAGCAUUGGCCUCAGCACAGCAGGGCCUGCAGAUGAUCGAGCCAUCAGUGAAGAAAUCCAGGAUAUUAGUUUGCUGUAUCAGGUUUUCUCUGAUGAAGUGUUGGGAUCAGGUCAGUUUGGAGUGGUGUACGGAGGUAAGGUGUUCAUUCAGAGUGAUAAGUAAUCUACACUGUUAGUCCAUUAAGAGCUGGCCAUGUACAGAGAGUUGGGUUUGUGUGCAGGUACUCACAGGCAGACGGGACGACCAGUAGCCAUUAAGGUCAUUGAUAAAACUCGCUUCCCGGCCAAGCAGGAG